ensembl:misc_RNA Metazoa_SRP Metazoan signal recognition particle RNA
GCCCAGCACAGUGGUGCGUGCCUGUAGUCCCAGCUACUCGGGAGGCUGAGGCUGGAGGAUCACUUGAGUCCAGGAGUUCUGGGCUGUAGUGUGCUAUGUGGAUCGGGUGUUUGCACUAAGUUUGGCAUCAAUAUGGUGACCACCCGGGAGCGGGGGACCACCAGGUUGCCUAAGGAGGGGUGAACUGGCCCAGGUUGGAAACAGAGCAGGUCAAAACUCCCAUGCUGAUCAGUAGUGGGAUCGUGCCCGUGAAUAGCCACUACACUCCAGCCUGGGCAACAUAGCGAGACCCCAUCUCUA